UACGUAGGGCGCAAGCGUUGUCCGGAAUUAUUGGGCGUAAAGAGCUCGUAGGCGGUCUGUCGCGUCCGUUGUGAAAACUCGAGGCUCAACCUCGGGCUUGCAGUGGAUACGGGCAGACUAGAGUGCGGUAGGGGAGACUGGAAUUCCUGGUGUAGCGGUGGAAUGCGCAGAUAUCAGGAGGAACACCGAUGGCGAAGGCAGGAUCUCCUGGGC
rnacentral:rRNA from 1 species